rnacentral:rRNA from 1 species
GACGAACGCUGGCGGCGUGCUUAACACAUGCAAGUCGAACGGAAAGGCCCUGCUUUUGUGGGGUGCUCGAGUGGCGAACGGGUGAGUAACACGUGAGUAACCUGCCCUGGACUUUGGGAUAACUUCAGGAAACUGGGGCUAAUACCGGAUAGGAGCUCCUGCUGCAUGGGGGGGGUUGGAAAGUUUCGGCGGUUGGGGAUGGACUCGCGGCUUAUCAGCUUGUUGGUGGGGUAGUGGCUUACCAAGGCUUUGACGGGUAGCCGGCCUGAGAGGGUGACCGGCCACAUUGGGACUGAGAUACGGCCCAGACUCCUACGGGAGGCAGCAGUGGGGAAUAUUGCACAAUGGGCGGAAGCCUGAUGCAGCAACGCCGCGUGCGGGAUGACGGCCUUCGGGCUGUAAACCGCUUUCGCCUGUGACGAAGCGUGAGUGACGGUAAUGGGUAAAGAAGCACCGGCUAACUACGUG